rfam:Brenneria goodwinii strain OBR1 genome assembly, contig: Contig
UCAAUAGCUGGCUAGGGUUCCGGUUCACUUUUGGUGAAUGACUGGUCCGAGAGCUGGCGACCUCCAGCGAGGUUACACGGCGGGAUAAAAGCCCGGGAGAC